rnacentral:rRNA from 1 species
CAGUAGCCGCGGGAAUACAGAGGAUGCAAGCGUUAUCCGGAAUGAUUGGGCAUAAAGUGUCUGUAGGUGGCUUUUCAAGUCCGCCGUCAAAUCCCAGGGCUCAACCGUGGACAGGCGGUGGAAACUACCAAGCUGGAGUAUGGUAGGGGCAGAGGGAAUUUCCGGUGGAGCGGUGAAAUGCGUUGAGAUCGGAAAGAACACCAACAGCGAAAUCACUCUGCUAGGCCGACACUGACACUGAGAGACGAAAUCUAGGGGAGCAAAUGGGAUUAGAUACCCCCGUAGUCCCUGUCUCUUAUAC